rnacentral:misc_RNA from 1 species
GUUUUGUUAAAAGAUAGUGAAAUUGAAGAAGAUGACCCCUUUUCAGAUGAGGAUUUACCUGAGGAAUUCAAGAAAGUGAAGUUUAGUUUAUUAACUGUUCUUCAGCUGGUCAGUUUGGUUUUAAUUAUUGCUGUUUUAAGUUGUAGUUUUGUGUUUCGUGUAUUGAGAGAAAAGAGGGCUCUUGGGCUUAAAUUGUGGAAAUGGGAAGUAAU